GGGAAAAUGGGCUGCUGAGAUUCGCGAUCCACAGAAGGGUGUACGCGUUUGGCUUGGUACAUUCAACACAGCAGAAGAUGCUGCUAGAGCCUAUGAUGAGGCUGCUAAGCGCAUUCGUGGUGAUAAGGCUAAACUCAACUUUCCAGCCCCAUCACCACCAGCUAAGCGACAGUGCACUAGCACUGUCGCUGCUGCUGAUACACCACCAGCACUACUCCUUGAGAGUUCUGACAACUCUCCUUUGAUGAACUUUGGAUAUGAUGUCCAGUAUCAGAGCCAAACUCCCUACUACCCCAUGGAAAUGCCCAUAGUUAGUGAAGAUUAUGAACUGAAGGAACAGAUUUCCAAUUUGGAAUCGUUCCUGGAAUUGGAGCCAUCUGAUCAAUUUUCAGGGAUCGUCGAUUCUGAUCCUCUUAAUGUUUUUCUGAUGGAGGACUUUGCUUCAACUCAUCAUCAGUUCUACUGAACAUGAUCAAAGUGUUAUUUCGGGAGUAUUUUAUGGCUGAGUAGUUUAUUAAUUAGCUUUUGGGUGUAGUAGUAGUAAUAGUAGUAAUAGAGAUUAGAGAGUACAUAUGAUGAUAAUAAUAAUAAGUUGCGUGCCUUAGCAUGCAAUUGUAAUAGUAUUAGUGUUUGUUGUCUUGUGCUGUUGUUUAUGCUUUUCUAAAUCUUGGAUUUACCUUAUAAUGUUUGGUGCA
rnacentral:misc_RNA from 1 species